rnacentral:rRNA from 1 species
GAUGAACGCUGGCGGCGUGCCUAAUACAUGCAAGUCGAGCGAACAGAUGAGGAGCUUGCUCCUCUGACGUUAGCGGCGGACGGGUGAGUAACACGUGGAUAACCUACCUAUAAGACUGGGAUAACUUCGGGAAACCGGAGCUAAUACCGGAUAAUAUAUUGAACCGCAUGGUUCAAUAGUGAAAGACGGUUUUGCUGUCACUUAUAGAUGGAUCCGCGCCGCAUUAGCUAGUUGGUAAGGUAACGGCUUACCAAGGCAACGAUGCGUAGCCGACCUGUGAGGGUGAUCGGCCACACUGGCACUGAGACACGGUCCAGACUCCUACGGGAGGCAGCAGUAGGGAAUCUUCCGCAAUGGGCGAAAGCCUGACGGAGCAACGCCGCGUGAGUGAUGAAGGUCUUCGGAUCGUAAAACUCUGUUAUUAGGGAAGAACAAAUGUGUAAGUAACUAUGCACGUCUUGACGGUACCUAAUCAGAAAGCCACGGCUAACUACGUG